UGGAGCAGUCUGGUAGCUCGUCGGGCUCAUAACCCGAAGGUCGUCGGUUCAAAUCCGG
rnacentral:tRNA from 1 species